CAGCAACGCCGCGUGAGGGACGACGGCCUUUAUGGGUUGUAAACCUCUUUUAGCAGGGAAGAAGCGAAAGUGACGGUACCUGCAGAAAAAGCACCGGCUAACUACGUGCCAGCAGCCGCGGUAAUACGUAGGGUGCAAGCGUUAUCCGGAAUUAUUGGGCGUAAAGAGCUCGUAGGCGGUUUGUCGCGUCUGCUGUGAAAACCCGAGGCUCAACCUCGGGCCUGCAGUGGGUACGGGCAAACUAGAGUGCGGUAGGGGAGAUUGGAAAUCCUGGUGUAGCGGUGGAAUGCGCAGAUAUCAGGAGGAACACCGAUGGCGAAGGCAGAUCUCUGGGCCGUAACUGACGCUGAGGAGCGAAAGCAUGGGGAGCGAACAGGAUUAGAUACCCUGGUAGUCCAUGCCGUAAACGUUGGGAACUAGAUGUGGGGGCCAUUCCACGGCUUCCGUGUCGCAGCUAACGCAUUAAGUUCCCCGCCUGGGGAGUACGGCCGCAAGGCUAAAACUCAAAGGAAUUGACGGGGGCCCGCACAAGCGGCGGAGCAUGCGGAUUAAUUCGAUGCAACGCGAAGAACCUUACCAAGGCUUGACAUAUACCUGAAAAGGCUGGAAACAGUCUCCCCGCA
rnacentral:rRNA from 1 species